GAGCAUUUUUUUACUGAAAAAUUUAAGGAGACAAGUACAAGAAACUCGGUCAAUAGGUCUAAGUUGAGUAUGCCUCAUCGUACGGGUAGUAAACCAAUUAGGGAGAUCAUUUAUGAAAUGGUGAGUAAAUCUUAUAAUUCUAUUAAGAAACCUCAUCUUUGUUACAAAGAUUUCUUUGACUUCUUUAUUGUAAUGUGAAGGGUGGUAAAGAUGGUAAUCCACCAGACGUGGUAACUAUUUUUUUUGAGAUUCGUAAGUAGAACAACAAGCUUGUCGAACCUGAAACUAGUGAGAAAUAUGAUAAAAUUAAAGAAUUGGUGCUAUCUGAAUCGUCUCUUACAAACAUUGAGGUUGUAGAAAGGUGCUCCGAACAAAAGAGUCAUGUAGUUGGAUUUGGUGGUGGGAUAACCUCUAUGGAGUUGAAAGGUGGUAACUCCUCUAAAUCUGCAUUGUAGGAAAAGUUGAAUGCUACUGUAAAAGAAAAUGAAACACUAAAAGGACGUUUGGAAGGGCUAGAGAGUGAAUAUGAUGAGCUAGAGAGUAAAUACACACAGCUUGCAAAGAUAGUGUUUGAUCAGCCUUCAUCACCAUCUUCAACUGAUCAAUAGAUUGAAUCAUAUAAUGGAUCAAAAACUUGAAGCCCGAAGAACUUAUCCUUGAAGAAAGUGUAGAGCAUGUUGAAGUACAAGAGGUUUUUGGUUCGUCAGCGAUGGUUUAAAGACACUUUCUUAUGUACAUAUAUAUGCUGCAAUUUUACUUUUGUUCUUUUUAGGAAUUAUUAAAAAUGAUGAUUAACUCAUCUCAUUUUAUGCU